GAUGAAGAACGUAGCGAAAUGCGAUACGUAAUGUGAAUUGCAGAAUUCAGUGAAUCAUCGAGUCUUUGAACGCACAUUGCGCCCCCUGGUAUUCCGGGGGGCAUGCCUGUCCGAGCGUCAUUGCUGCCCAUCAAGCACGGCUUGUGUGUUGGGUCGUCGUCCCCCCCUCCGGGGGGGGACGGGCCCUAAAGGCAGCGGCGGCACCGCGUCCGAUCCUCGAGCGUAUGGGCUUUGUCACCCGCUCUGUAGGCCCGGCCGGCGCUUGCCGAACGCAAAACAACCAUUCUUUCCAGGUUGACCUCGGAUCAGGUAGGGAUACCCGCUGAACUUAAGCAUAUCAAUAAGCGGAGGA
rnacentral:misc_RNA from 1 species